ACAUCACUUUUGUAUACAUGAGUUUCAUCUUUAAAGUUUAUAAAACAGUCAUCAUUAAUUGGCGAUAAAAAUCUAGCUGAUACAAUUAAAAAUAUUUUGCUCUUACUGCCAACAGACACUAUUUUGUCAGAAUACAGCAUGA